rnacentral:rRNA from 1 species
CCCUUAGAUGUUCUGGGCCGCACGCGCGCUACACUGAUAAUGUCAACAAGCUUUACCUUGGCCGAUAGGUCUGGGCAAUCUUCGAACUAUUAUCGUGAUGGGGCUAGAUUAUUGCAACUAUUAAUCUUAAACGAGGAAUUCCUAGUAAGCGCGAGUCAUCAGCUCGCGUUGAUUACGUCCCUGCCCUUUGUACACACCGCCCGUCGCACCUACCGAUUGGAUGGUCCGGUGAAGCCUCGGGAUUGUGGUUCUUGCCGCUUUAUUGUGGCGUGACCGCGAGAACUUGUCUAAACCUUAUCAUCUAGAGGAAGGUGAAGUCGUAACA